UUCAGUUAGCAAUGUAUAAUA
ensembl:piRNA 21ur-11453 ncRNA